rnacentral:rRNA from 1 species
UACAGAGGUCUCAAGCGUUGUUCGGAUUCAUUGGGCGUAAAGGGUGCGUAGGCGGCGAGGUAAGUCGGAUGUGAAAUCCCUGGGCUCAACCCCGGAACUGCAUUCGAUACUGCUUUGCUUGAGUACUGGAGAGGAGACUGGAAUUUACGGUGUAGCAGUGAAAUGCGUAGAUAUCGUAAGGAAGACCAGUGGCGAAGGCGAGUCUCUGGACAGUUACUGACGCUGAGGCACGAAGGCCAGGGGAGCAAACGGG